AUUGAACGCUGGCGGCAGGCUUAACACAUGCAAGUCGAGCGGGGGAAGGUAGCUUGCUACCGGACCUAGCGGCGGACGGGUGAGUAAUGCUUAGGAAUCUGCCUAUUAGUGGGGUACAACAUCCCGAAAGGGAUGCUAAUACCGCAUACGUCCUAGGGUAGAAAGCAGGGGAUCUUCGGACCUUGCGCUAAUAGAUGAGUCUAAGUCGGAUUAGCUAGUUGGUGGGGUAAAGGCCUACCAAGGCGACGAUCUGUAGCGGGUCUGAGAGGAUGAUCCGCCACACUGGGACUGAGACACGGCCCAGACUCCUACGGGAGGCAGCAGUGGGGAAUAUUGGACAAUGGGGGGAACCCUGAUCCAGCCAUGCCGCGUGUGUGAAGAAGGCCUUAUGGUUGUAAAGCACUUUAAGCGAGGAGGAGGCUACUUUAGUUAAUACCUGGAGAUAGUGGACGUUACUCGCAGAAUAAGCACCGGCUAACUCUGUGCCAGCAGCCGCGGUAA
rnacentral:rRNA from 1 species